CAGGCUGGAUGCGAUGGUCGCGGGCCGGGCAACCGGUCCCGAGGAAAGUCCGAGCUCCAACGGGUAGACUGCCAGGUAACGCCUGGGCGCCGAAAGGCGAUGGACAGGGCCACAGAAAACAGACCGCCACGGACGCGAGUUCGCGGUAAGGGUGAAACGGUGGGGUAAGAGCCCACCGCCCCGAGCGUAAGCAAGGGGGCACGGUAACCCCCGGUCGGAGCAAGGCCGAAUAAGCGGCGAGGUGUGACCCACACCCGAAGGCCGGGCAACCGGCCGGGGAGCGCCAGGGGAAACCCCGGCGUCUCGAAGCCGCGGGUAGGCUGCUAGAGGCGGUCGGUGACGGCCGUCCCAGAGAGAUGACCAUCUCCCCGAGGGGCAACCCGAGGGGAAACAGCACGCGGCUUACGGUCUGGCCUGGGCC
rnacentral:RNase_P_RNA from 1 species